UACGUAGGGUGCGAGCGUUAAUCGGAAUUACUGGGCGUAAAGCGUGCGCAGGCGGCCGAGCAAGUCGAGUGUGAAAGCCCCGAGCUUAACUUGGGAACUGCGCUCGAAACUACUUGGCUAGAGUGUGGCAGAGGGAGGUGGAAUUCCACGUGUAGCGGGUGAAAUGCGUAGAGAUGAUGGAGGAACACCGAUGGCGAAGGCAGCCUCCUGGGCCAACACUGACGCUCAUGCACGAAAGCG
rnacentral:rRNA from 1 species